GGGCGGAUAGCUCAGCUGGUCAGAGCGUCUCGCUUACACCGAGAAGGUCGUGGGUUCGAACCCCUCUCCGCCCACCA
rnacentral:tRNA from 1 species